UACGGAGGGGGCAAGCGUUGUUCGGAAUUACUGGGCGUAAAGGGCGCGCAGGCGGCUGCUCAAGUCAGGCGUGAAAGGCCUGGGCUCAACCCGGGAAUUGCGCUUGAGACUGGGCUGGCUUGAGUGCGGGAGAGGAUGGUGGAAUUCCCAGUGUAGAGGUGAAAUUCGUAGAUAUUGGGAAGAACACCGGUGGCGAAGGCGGCAUCCUGGACCGGUAUUGACGCUGAGGCGCGAAAGCCAGGGGAGCAAACGGG
rnacentral:rRNA from 1 species